rnacentral:rRNA from 1 species
CAAUAGCGUAUAUUAAAGCUGUUGCGGUUAAAAAGCUCGUAGUUGGAUUUCUGUCAAGGACAACUGGCCCGCCCUCCGGGUGAGCACAUAGUUUGGUCUUGGCAUCUUGCUGGAAACUGUUGCUGCACUUGGCUGUGUGGCGCAGCGUCCAGCACUUUCACUUUGAGGAAAUUGGAGUGUUUCAAGCAGGCACAUGCCUUUGGACACAGUAGCAUGGAAUAAUUAGAUUGGGCUUUUGCUCCAAUUUGUCGGUUUCUGGAGCUGAGGUGAGAAUUAAUGGGGAUUGUUGGGGGCAUCCGAAUUUAGCCGUCAGAGGUGAAAUUCUUGGAUCUGCUAAAGACGGACAACUGCGAAAGCGUUUGCCCAGGAUGUUUUCAUUGA